rfam:Ricinus communis cultivar Hale ctg_1100012289639, whole genome shotgun sequence.
GUCGUUGGCUAAGCCCUCGCGGCGGACGAGCCGCGCGGGCCGCCUUGAAUUACAAUUUCCACCGGGCGGCGGACUGAAUCCUUUGCAGACGACUUAAAUACGCGACGGGGUAUUGUAAGUGGCAGAGUGGCCUUGCUGCCACGAUCCACUGAGAUUCAGCCCUUCGUCGCUCCGAUUCGU